ensembl:lncRNA
GUUUGUGUCACUAAAAUAUGGCUUUAUUUUCAAUUCUUUACUAGAGAAAAAUGCUAACACAUCCUCCUCAACAACUGAAGAGCCAUCUGGAAGGUGAGACUUGCACUGUAAGCUUGUUCAUCUAUGGGUUGCUCUUUCUUUAUGGAGAUCUGCAUCUGCUGCACAACUGCCGAGGCAACAGCAUCAUCAGCCCACUGAACGUCCCUGGAAACUUUCACCUCAUCUUAUCUUAGUGGAUGUGGAAAAUCCUGAUGUGAUAACUCUUGAAGAAAAAAGAAGGUGAAGUAAAAGCAGAAGAUCAAUUCCAUUUCAAUUCCAGAAAAUGAAGAAACAUUUCAACUUGCCAUAAAACACGUUCUAUUAAUUGUUAUUAUUCAUCACUCCAGUUCUGUACUUGCACAAUUCCAGACCUCCUCUGAUGUUGUAUAACUCUAUAAAAUAAGAUGUGCUUUGGCUCUUGCAUUCUUACGUUGAAACUACACCUCAAACUUCUAACAUUUAAACACUAUAUCUGCCUCACAGUUCAGGUCUUUUUAGCCCAACUGUUCAACUUCCCUUCACCAAUCAUGAACAAGCAUUGCUAAUUCUAUCCAGAAUAAUCUGCCAGUGAAAAUAAAAGGAACACAUUCUGUUCUCCUUUUUGCUGGGUUGCU